rnacentral:tRNA from 1 species
UGCAAGAUGGUUGAAAUUAAACAAUAAACUGUAAAUUUAUAUAUGGGUAAACCCCUCUUGUGC